rnacentral:rRNA from 1 species
UAGGGAAUCUUCCGCAAUGGGCGAAAGCUUGACGGAGCAACGCCGCGUGAGUGAUGAAGGUCUUCGGAUCGUAAAACUCUGUUAUUAGGGAAGAACAAAUGUGUAAGUAACUAUGCACGUCUUGACGGUACCUAAUCAGAAAGCCACGGCUUACUACGUGCCAGCAGCCGCGGUAAUACGUAGGUGGCAAGCGUUAUCCGGAAUUAUUGGGCGUAAAGCGCGCGUAGGCGGUUUUUUAAGUCUGAUGUGAAAGCCCACGGCUCAACCGUGGAGGGUCAUUGGAAACUGGAAAACUUGAGUGCAGAAGAGGAAAGUGGAAUUCCAUGUGUAGCGGUGAAAUGCGCAGAGAUAUGGAGGAACACCAGUGGCGAAGGCGACUUUCUGGUCUGUAACUGACGCUGAUGUGCGAAAGCGUGGGGAUCAAACAGG